rnacentral:rRNA from 1 species
CGGCGGACGGGUGAGUAACACGUAGGCAACCUACCCUUGAGAUUGGGAUAACUACCGGAAACGGUAGCUAAUACCGGAUACGACUUUUCCGCAUAAGUGGAAUUGUUAAAAGGCGGAUUUAUCUGCCGCUCAUGGAUGGGCCUGCGGUGCAUUAGCUAGUUGGUGAGGUAGUGGCUCACCAAGGCGACGAUGCAUAGCCGACCUGAGAGGGUGAUCGGCCACACUGGGACUGAGACACGGCCCAGACUCCUACGGGAGGCAGCAGUAGGGAAUCUUCCGCAAUGGACGCAAGUCUGACGGAGCAACGCCGCGUGAGUGAUGAAGGGUUUCGGCUCGUAAAACUCUGUUGUUAAGGAAGAACACUUGAGGUAGUAACUGGCCUUGAGAUGACGGUACUUAACCAGAAAGCCACGGCUAACUACGUGCCAGCAGCCGCGGUAAUACGUAGGUGGCAAGCGUUAUCCGGAAUUAUUGGGCGUAAA